UAUGCUCUUCCGAUCUAUAACAUUGGAAAAGUCAACCCACAUUUACCUCCAAAACACCAAGAGUGCAAAUAAUUAUAAUCCAGAUAGAUCCU